GAUGAACGCUAGCGACAGGCCUAACACAUGCAAGUCGAGGGGCAUCGGGACGUAGCAAUACGUUGCCGGCGACCGGCGGAUGGGUGAGUAACGCGUAUGCAACCUACCCGUAGCAGGGGGAUAGCCCGUUGAAAGACGGAUUAAUACCCCGUAACACAGGGGCUCCGCAUGGAGAUUAUUGUUAAAGGGUCAUUUCUUUUAGAGGUGGUCCGGCUACGGAUGGGCAUGCGUUCCAUUAGGUAGUUGGUGUAGGUAACAGCUCACCAAGCCGACGAUGGAUAGGGGAACUGAGAGGUUGGUCCCCCACACUGGUACUGAGACACGGACCAGACUCCUACGGGAGGCAGCAGUGAGGAAUCUUGGUCAAUGGACGCAAGUCUGAACCAGCCAUGUCGCGUGAAGGAGGACGGCCCUAAGGGUUGUAAACUUCUUUUGCAGUGGAAUAAAGUUUGCCACGAGUUGGCGAUUUGCAAGUACGCUGCGAAUAAGGAUCGGCUAACUCCGUGCCAGCAGCCG
rnacentral:rRNA from 1 species